AUGUGUUGUCAAAGGACAUGUUCUGUGUUCAAAAAGCCAGGCACUGAAGGAGCAGCAGUACCACGUUUGGGUGAUUAUGGCCACUGAUGGAUGUGGACAGACUUUGUUGUAGUUUUGUUACAGCUGCAAACAAUGCAUGACAAAUUACAGAUCUUGCUAGGAAAACAUAUAGGUAGCUUCUCUUGAUGAUGUAUUGUAUCAUCACAAAUGUUAAGCUGAAUUUAGCUCAUCUUGAAUCUAAUACUCUUGGUUGUAUGCAAUCUGUUCGGUGUUACUUCCAUUGAGUCCAAGGAUAUUUAGAUUCAGCUCUCAGCCUCUGCACUCCACUGGGAGCUGAGAAGUUUGGUCCAGAUAAAAUGAGUGGUGUAUCUGAUUUUGGUGACCAAGGUGGCUCAUGACAGAGUGACCCAAAUAUCAAGGGUGACAGAAAGAGAUAGGAAUAGCUCCAUUCUACUGGCAAGUUUAGCUAAUUGGUUAUACACAUAUGUUACUGAUAUAUAGAUAGCCUGGAGAAAAUAAAUUGCAAAAAUGCAAGACCAAUUCAAAUGAAUUUGGACAGUAGUUAAAUCAUGUAAUUAAUUUGGCUGAGGUUUAGGAGAGAGACAGCUUUCAGAAGAAAUCUGAAGGAGAUGGAGGAGAAAUGCCUACUGAAAGUUGUGCCAUUUGUUAGGGACAGCCUGAAGAUGUUGACUCUUCUGCCUUCUCUGCAGGAGUCUUCUGUGCAGUGAUGCUCACCGCAGCUGUGUCUGAUUUCCUGAAUGGUGUGCAAGUUCCCACGUCUAAGCACACGGGAGGAAAUAAAUGAGUUACUGAAGAUGUCCAUGACAUGAAACCUGGCCAUGUAAGAUCCAGUUUUUCCUCAGCAAAUUGCAACAGAAGCCUGAACAGAAAAAUGGACUCUGCAGUGAGGUUCAGUGGGUCUGUCCUGAUUCCAGUGUGCCCAGUGUCACUCCUUACCUGGUGCAUGAGUUGCUAAGGACCUGUUUCCUGAAAUGCUCUGUAAUGGAAGAGAUUAUCAAGUAGUAAUGUCUAUUUUUUUUUUUUACUACAGUUUUUCUUAUGAUAGUGAACAUUAUUAUGGUACUUCUUUGCUCCCGUGAUAAUGCCAGCAUAGACUGCUGUGUGUUAUUGUACACUAUAAAUCACUUUUCCAAUAAAGAAAACUUUGCAAUUGGAAAUAUCAGGGAAAAAAUACAAGAAGAUACACUUCAUAGUUGUUCUUAAGACUAUUGUCACCCUAUCCCGUGCAUUGAAAUUGCAUGCAAUGUGUUCAAAACUGAGGACCAAGGGUUAGUUUUGGAUGCCACAUUGCUUCACGGUCUAGAGAUUAUCCAUACUGCUGUGAUUUUUCAAAACCUAUGAUAAUAACUCUUUAGCUGAUGUAAUCAGCUGAACUUGGGCAAUUUACUCAAUUUCAAGAUUUUUGCUACAAUUCAAAUUGUUAAAUUCACCUGGGCAGUAGAUCGGUUUUUCUCUUGCUGUCUUUCUUACACUCUUUUGUUAAGACAAAUUCUCUCACAAUGCUAAACAGUUCAGCUUUAUGCACAUCAGUUCAUUCUCCAAGCUAACUCUUCCAGGAUAGCAAGCAAACAGCUUAAAAAUCUAGAAGUUGCUUUUGUUCCUCCAAAAUAAACUUUUUUUUUUUUUUUUUUUUUUUUUUUUUUUUUCUGUUUAUUCUAGUGUGAGUAUUCAACUGAAGGAAGAAUGCCCCAAGUAAGUCAGAAUC